GCACAACUCCCAGGGGACCCAUCUGUGGUGAUUCCUGCCCUCGAUGACCUGUGCACAGAACCCAAGACUAUAGCACGGCCGGGGUUGUGGUGCAGGGCUCCUCUCCCUUCCAAGCCCCCUCCCCCUCUCUCCAUGUGGUAGGAGUCCUGCCUCCCCUUCCAAGUCCCGUGGGACUUUGCCCCCAACCUGGUUUUAUCUGACCACCGCUCUGUGUGUCUUCACAGAGUAAACAGCUUUUUGCUGGGCUUGUGCUCCCAGGGUCUGGGCCACGGCUUGCUCUGGGUGACCUCCCCCAGAAUCUGGCCCAGUGGCCUCCAUCCUGGCAGCAACCAGCCGAAACUCUCCUGGUGGGGGGGGGGAGGGCAGGCUUCCUUAUCUCUUCCACCAAAAGACCUCAUUCCUCUGGCAGGGCUAGGAAGUCUGGCGGUGGUCAGGGAAGGGCCAACAGGUGACAGACCCAGGAGUCCGCCCCCGCCCCCCCCAGCUGAGUUCCCCAAAGUGCCCUCAUUAGGCAUUAGGCCAACACCAAAAUCGCUGGUGAGGCAAGUGCACAGAUGAUGAGAGUCAGAAUAGGAGUGAUCAGGUCAGAGGGGAAGGUGAUAAGGAUGGGGCUACAGUAAUCAGGGUGGGGCUUUUUGACAUUCCCAGGACUCUGCCCUCAGAUCCUCUCUCUGACGGUUCCCCACUCUGUCUGCCCACCCAAGCCUAGAACAAGGGUGCCCCUAGGGCUGGGGAUCCUGGUCUUUAGGACCCGACCCUGGCUGGGGCUGGCUACCCCAUGCGUCCAGGGGCCUGUGGUCUGUGACUCAGUGUCUUUCUCCAGGCUGACCUCAGCAUGGGCCUGGGGGCUGGGAGACAGGGCAGUUUCCCCUGAGACUGGCUCUCCAGGAUCUUGACUCAGGGGCCCAAGGCUGAGGUCCUGCAGUGCCUUUGUUGGCCUUGGCUCAGGAAUCCAGAUAAACUGGUCAGGGGGCAGGCCCCAGGGACCGAAACCCCUCCCUCUGCUCCCGCCCUCCCACACAGCCAUAUAACUGCUCCUGUCUUGGGGCGAGAGCCACUGGCUGAAAGGAACUGGUCUGGGUCCGCUCACCUGGCUUGUCCUUCUGACUGCGGAGAGCUGGGGAGCUGAUCCAACCGCCUCUGCCUCUGGACUCCAAGUGAAAGUCUUCCCUGUGGACGCAGAGUGUCUGUCCUCACCGCUUGGAUCCUACAGCCCUUUGGGUCGGACCCGCACAGGCUUCCAGGUCGUA
rnacentral:lncRNA from 1 species